rnacentral:rRNA from 1 species
ACCCCAGGUCAGGCGGGACUACCCGCUGAGUUUAAGCAUAUAAAUAAGUGGAGGAGAAGAAACUUACAAGGAUUCCCCUUGUAAUGGCGAGCGAACCAGGAGCAGCCCAGCUUGAGAAUCGGGCGGCUGUGCCAUCCGAAUUGUAGUUUGGAGAGGCGUCCUCAGCGACGGACCGGGCCCAAGUCCCCUGGAAAGGGGCACUUGGGAGGGUGAGAGCCCCGUCCGGCCCGGACCCUGUCGCCCCACGAGGCGCCGUCAACGAGUCGGGUUGUUUGGGAAUGCAGCCCAAAUCGGGCGGUAGACUCCGUCCAAGGCUUAAUACAGGCGAGAGACCAAUAGCGAACAAGUACCGCGAAGGAAAGAUGAAAAGGACUUUGAAAAGAGAGUCAAAGAGUGCUUGAAAUUGCCGGGAGGGAAGCGGAUGGGGGCCGGCGAUGCGCCCCGGCCGUAUGUGGAACGGCUCUUGCUGGUCCCCUGCUCGGCUCGGGAUGUGAACUGUUUUCGGCCGCGCCGGCGGCCAAAGCCUGGGGGCCUUAGGUUCCUCCGGUGGCCGUCGUCAGCACGGCUGGUACCCACCCGCCGAAAGGCGUGUCCCUUGGGGCACUGCGCUGUAACGGCCUGCGGGCUCCCCAUCCGACCCGUCUUGAAACACGGACCAAGGAGUCCGACAUGCGUGCGAGUCGACGGGUUCUGAAACCUGGGAUACGCAAGGAAGCUGACAAGCGGGAGGCCCUCACGGGCCGCACCGCUGGCCGACCCUGAUCUUCUGUGAAGGGUUCGAGUUGGAGCACACCUGUCGGGACGCGAAAGAUGGUGAACUAUACCUGAGCGGGGCGAAGCCAGAGGAAACUCUGGUGGAGUUCGAAGUGAUACUGAGAUGCAAGUCAUUCGUCUAACUUGGGUAUAGGGGCGAAAGACUAAUCGAACCAUCUAGUAGCUGGUUCCCUCCGAAGUUUCCCUCUGGAUAGCUGGAGCCCAUUACGAGUUCUAUCAGGUAAAGCCAAUGAUUAGAGGAAUUGGGGACGCAACGUCCUCGACCUAUUCUCAAAUAGGUAGGAUGGCGCGGCUGCUUCGGUGAGCCAUGCCACGGAAUCGGGUGCUCCAAGUGGGCCAUUUUUGGUAAGCAGAACUGGCGAUGCGGGAUGAAUCGGAAGCCGGAUUACGGUGCCCAACUGCGCGCUAACCUAGAACGCACAAAGGGUGUUGGUCGAUUAAGGCAGCAGGACGGUGCUCAUGGAAGUCGAAAUCCGCUAAGGAGUGUGUAACAACUCACCUGCCGAAUCAACUAGCCCCGAAAAUGGAUGGCGCUGAAGCGCGCGACCCACACCCGGCCAUCUGGGCGAGCGCCAUGCCCCAAUGAGUAGGAGGGCGCGACGGCCGCUGCAAAACCCGGGGCGCAACCCCAGGCAGAGAAUCCGUCGGUGCAGAUCUUGGUGGUAGUAGCAAAUUUCAAAUGAGAACUUUGAAGGCCGAAGAGGAGAAAGGUUCCAUGUGAACGGCACCUGCACAUGGGUAAGCCGAUCCUAAGGGACGGGGUAACCCCGGCAGAUAGCGCGAUCACACGCAUCCCCCGAAAGGGAAUCGGGUUAAGAUUUCCCGAUUCGGGAUGUGGCGGUUGACGGCGACGUUAGGAAGUCCGGAGACGCUGGCGGGGGCCUCGGGAAGAGUUAUCUUUUCUGCUUAACGGCCUGCCAACCCUGGAAACGGUUCAGCCGGAGGUAGGGUCCAGUGGCCGGAAGAGCACCGCAUGUCGCGCGGUGUCCGGUGCGCCCCUGGCGGCCCAUGAAAAUCCAGAGGACCGAGUACCGUUCAUGCUCGGUCGUACUCAUAACCGCAUCAGGUCUCCAAGGUGAACAGCCUCUGGCCAAUGGAACAAUGUAGGCAAGGGAAGUCAGCAAAACAUAUUCGUAACUUCGGGAAAAGGAUUGGCUCUGAGGACUGGGCUCGGGAGUCCCGGCCCCAAACCCGUCGGUUGUCGGCGCAUUGCUCGAGCUGCUCACGCGGCGAGAGCGGGUAGCCGCGUGCCGGCCGGGGGACGGACCGGAAUCGCCCCUUCGGGGACGGACUGGACGCAAUGUGAUUUCUGCCCACUGCUCUGAAUGUCAAAGUGAAGAAAUUCAACCAAGUGCGGGUAAAUGGCGGGAGUAACUAUGGCUCUCUUAAGGUAGCCAAAUGCCUCCUCAUCUAAUUACUGACGCGCAUGAAUGGAUUAGCGAGAUUUCCACUGUCCCAGUCUACUAUCCAGCGAAACCACAGCCAAGGGAACGGGCUUGGCGGAAUCAGCGGGGAAAGAAGACCCUGUUGAGCUUGACUCUAGUCCGACUUUGUGAAAUGACUUGAGAGGUGUAGGAUAAGUGGGAGCCCUCACGGGCGCAAGUGAAAUACCACUACUUUUUACGUUAUUUUACUUAUUCCGUGGGUCGGAAGCGGGGCAUGUUCCCUCCUUUUGGCUCCAAGGCCCGGUCUUACUGGGCCGAUCCGGGCGAAAGACAUUGUCAGGUGGGGAGUUUGGCUAGGGUGGCACAUUUGUUAAAAGAUAACGCAGGUGUCCUAAGAUGAGCUCAACGAGAACAGAAAUCUCAUGUGGAACAAAAGGGUAAAAGCUCGUUUGAUUAUGAUUUCCAGUACGAAUACGAACCGUGAAAACAUGGCCUAUCGAUCCUUUAGAUCUUCGGAGUUUGAAGCUAGAGGUGUCAGAAAAGUUACCACAUGGAUAAUUUGCUUGUGGCAGCCAAGCGUUCAUAGCGACGUUGCUUUUUGAUCCUUCAAUGUCGGCUCUUCCUAUCAUUGCGAAGCAGAAUUCACCAAGCGUUGGAUUGUUCACCCACCAAUAGGGACCGUGAGCUGGGUUUAGACCGUCGUACCAGAGGAACCAUUGAUUCACACAAUUGGUCAUCGCGCUUGGUUGAGAAGCCAGUGGCGCGAAGCUACCGUGUGCCGGAUUAUGACUGAACGCCUCUAAGUCAGAAUCCAGGUUAGCAUGCGACGCCUGCACCCGCCGCCCGCCCCGACCCACGUUAGGGGUGCUUGCGCCCCCAAGGGCCCGUGCCAUUGGCUAAGCCGGUCCGGCCGACGUGCCGUGGCCGGCCGCCUCGAAGCUCCCUUCUCAACGGGCGGUGGGCUGAAUCCUUUGCAGACGACUUAAAAACGCGACGGGGCAUUGUAUGUGGCUGAGUGGCCUUGCUGGCACGAUCAACUGAGAUGCAGCCCCAUGU